rnacentral:misc_RNA from 1 species
AAGUCGUAACAAGGUUUCCGUAGGUGAACCUGCGGAAGGAUCAUUAAAAAACGUGGUACCAAUUAUUGGUACUAAUUAAUCAUCCUACCCUUUGUGAAUUUGUUUGUAAUGAAUUUUUUUUAAAUGGGUCUUUCCCUAAGUUGGAUUGUUAGUAAAAUACAAAAAAGACUUAGGGGAAUGACUUUUUUAAAAGACUUUUUUUUUAAUUAAAACUUUUUGUAUUCAUUUGUCUAAAAUUUAUUUUUAUAAUAUAAAAACAACUUUUGACAAUGGAUCUCUUGGUUCUCGCAACGAUGAAGAACGCAGCAAAAUGCGAUAAGUAGUGUGAAUUGCAGAAUACGUGAAUCAUCGAAUCUUCGAACGCAUAUUGCACUUUUUUAGUUUACUAAAAAAGUAUGUCUGUUUGAGUAUCAGUAAAAUAUUCUCACAAACAUAUAUUGUUUGUGGUAAUGAGUGUUUUACAACGAUAAACAAGUUGUUUCACUUUAAAUUCUUUUGUAAGUUUUUACUACCAAUUCAUAAAUUAAAAUUGGAUAAAAUUUUCCUUUAACGAGGAAUAACCUAAACAAUUUUAAAUUUUAUGGUUUGUAAACAUUCAUCAAAGGAAUCUAUUAUACAUAAAUAACUUGAUCUCAAAUCAGAUAAGAGUACCCGCUGAACUUAAGCAUAUCAAUAAGCGGAGGAAAAGAAACUAACAAGGAUUCCCUUAGUAACGGCGAGUGAAGCGGGAAGAGCUCAAAUUUGAAAUCUUCAAGGUUUGACCUUGACGAAUUGUAGUUUAUAGAAGUGUUUUCUGUUGGAGUUUUGGUAAAAGUUCUUUGGAAUAGGACAUCAUAGAGGGUGAGAAUCCCGUAUUUGACCAUGACUUUCCAGCUGUGUGAUACACUUUCAAAGAGUCGGAUUGUUUGGGAAUGCAGUCCAAAAUGGGUGGUAAAUUUCAUCUAAAGCUAAAUAUUGGCGAGAGACCGAUAGCGAACAAGUACCGUGAGGGAAAGAUGAAAAGAACUUUGAAAAGAGAGUUAAACAGUACGUGAAAUUGUCAAAAGGGAAGCGUUUGACACCAGUGUUGUUUUCUCGAAAAUCAAUUUAAUGAGUUCUUGUUUUUAAGUUAUUGUGACUUUAUCAGCGCAUUUCUUAUUUUACUUGACUCAUUGAAUGCACUUUUCGUUUAACAAGUCAACAUCAAUUUCUUUGGUGGUAAAAAGUUUAAAGGAAGGUGGCUUGGACUUCGGUUCAAGUGUUUAUAGCCUUUUUUCUAUGCCAUCGGAGAGAUUGAGGUCUGCAGCGUAGAUCCUUCGGGGUUAGAUACCUUUGUGCUAAGUUAUAGUUCUUUAUAGACAACUUGUUGACUAUAAUUAACCCUGUAAUUUACUCGCUUAGGCUAUUUUACCUACGCUUAGGAUGUUGAG